CCUACGGGGGGCAGCAGUGAGGAAUAUUGGUCAAUGGGCUUACGCCUGAACCAGCCAAGUCGCGUGAGGGAAGACUGCCCUAUGGGUUGUAAACCUCUUUUGUCAGGGAGCAAAAGCCGGACGUGUCCGGCUGUGAGAGUACCCGAAGAAAAAGCAUCGGCUAACUCCGUGCCAGCAGCCGCGGUAAUACGGAGGAUGCGAGCGUUAUCCGGAUUUAUUGGGUUUAAAGGGUGCGCAGGCGGAUUUUUAAGUCAGCGGUAAAAUCGUGGGGCUCAACCCCAUCCAGCCGUUGAAACUGGGGAUCUAGAGUGUGCGAGAGGUAUGCGGAAUGCGUGGUGUAGCGGUGAAAUGCAUAGAUAUCACGCAGAACCCCGAUUGCGAAGGCAGCAUACCGGUGCACAACUGACGCUCAGGCACGAAAGCGUGGGUAUCGAACAGGAUUAGAUACCCUAGUAGUC
rnacentral:rRNA from 1 species